rnacentral:rRNA from 1 species
AGAGUUUGAUCAUGGCUCAGAUUGAACGCUGGCGGCAGGCCUAACACAUGCAAGUCGAACGGUAACAUUUCUAGCUUGCUAGAAGAUGACGAGUGGCGGACGGGUGAGUAAUGCUUGGGAACUUGCCUUUGCGAGGGGGAUAACAGUUGGAAACGACUGCUAAUACCGCAUAAUGUCUACGGACCAAACGGGGCUCUUAGCUCCGGCGCAAAGAGAGGCCCAAGUGAGAUUAGCUAGUUGGUAAGGUAAUGGCUUACCAAGGCAACGAUCUCUAGCUGUUCUGAGAGGAAGAUCAGCCACACUGGAACUGAGACACGGUCCAGACUCCUACGGGAGGCAGCAGUGGGGAAUAUUGCACAAUGGGGGAAACCCUGAUGCAGCCAUGCCGCGUGUGUGAAGAAGGCCUUCGGGUUGUAAAGCACUUUCAGUUGUGAGGAAAAGUUAGUAGUUAAUACCUGCUAGCCGUGACGUUAACAACAGAAGAAGCACCGGUUAACUCCGUGCCAGCAGCCGCGGUAAUACGGAGGGUGCGAGCGUUAAUCGGAAUUACUGGGCGUAAAGCGCACGCAGGCGGUUUGUUAAGCUAGAUGUGAAAGCCCCGGGCUCAACCUGGGAUAGUCAUUUAGAACUGGCAGACUAGAGUCUUGGAGAGGGGAGUGGAAUUCCAGGUGUAGCGGUGAAAUGCGUAGAUAUCUGGAGGAACAUCAGUGGCGAAG